AAGAUUCGAAAUCCUUGAGAAUACUACGAUAGUAAGAAUGUUUCCCAAUGUGCCCAAAAUUAUAUCGACGAUUCCAAUCACAAUACCGAUGUAUCUGAAACCAGAAAAAAGAAGCUGGAGCAAUUGCAGUUAAAUCUCCAAGCCGAAGGACACAGACACCCCCUAGGGUAACAACGGCGAGUCUUGAACCCGUAUAAACCUCUAGAAACUCUUGCAACGAGCGAAGCAAUUUCGCCAAGCAAGCAUUUCCCUUUGUGUGUAAUCUAUCGUUAUUUUUACAAUGUACUAAAACGAACCUAUUAUCGGAGCAAGAAACGCCCCAAGAGCAAUUGCGAAGUGAUAUCCGGAUAUGAUGGGCCGUGAAUCUUUCUCUCCCCACACUUGUAAAAUCAGCGCUUGCAUGCCUGCCACAAAAAGUAAAUGUUUGCAGUCAGCAAACACAAAGAUUAAUGCAUUACCUGCGUCCAAGAACCCAAACCCGAUACCACCAGCCAUCACUACGAUUAUGAGCAGCCACAAAGCUUCAAUCCAUGGAGUUGCAACGAUAACAGCAGCAACAAGAACACCGACCGAGCGUCCAGUAAACACCCAUGAAACUUGUCCAACAGUAGACCCCACAUUGUUGGCGAGCGUUAGUAAGGUCGGGCCAUGAAUUGAGAUAAACAAACCCUUCAAAAAUAGAGUUUACAUGAUCAAUUUGAUGAGUAAAAACAAUAAGAGUUUAGGUAGGCAGACGACAACCAUUGAGAGAGUCACCCCAAAAAGGUCGGCUGUUAUAAUUUGAAACGGUGUGAAAUAAUUUGCAAUCGCCACGCCACAAAAACGGCCCGCAGCAAAACCAACCCAAAACAUUGUAUUCAUUCCAGUGGCUGCAGUGACCUGAAAGGAGGCGAUGGCUUAAAACUACAACACACGGUCGCUGAGUAAAUGUAGCUGUUGUAUAUCGACUCCCCUGCCACGCAGAAGAAGUAAUAAGAAGUCACCAAAAAGAAGA